GACAGCCAGGAUGUUGGCUUAGAAGCAGCCAUCAUUUAAAGAAAGCGUAAUAGCUCACUGGUCGAGUCGGCCUGCGCGGAAGAUGUAACGGGGCUAAACCAUGCACCGAAGCUGCGGCAGCGAACGUAUCACCCAAGACAACUUUACGGAGUUGACGAUUGACGGAGCGAAGCGACGUCAAAGCGUUCAUUAAAGUCGAGUUGGCUUAGGGAUACGUUCGUUGGGUAGGGGAGCGUUCUGUAAGCCUGUGAAGGUGUGUCGUGAGGCAUGCUGGAGGUAUCAGAAGUGCGAAUGCUGACAUAAGUAACGAUAAAGCGG
rnacentral:rRNA from 1 species